CGAACGCUGGCGGCGUGCCUAAUACAUGCAAGUAGAACGCUGAAGAGAGGAGCUUGCUCUUCUUGGAUGAGUUGCGAACGGGUGAGUAACGCGUAGGUAACCUGCCUUGUAGCGGGGGAUAACUAUUGGAAACGAUAGCUAAUACCGCAUAACAAUGGAUGACACAUGUCAUUUAUUUGAAAGGGGCAAAUGCUCCACUACAAGAUGGACCUGCGUUGUAUUAGCUAGUAGGUGAGGUAACGGCUCACCUAGGCGACGAUACAUAGCCGACCUGAGAGGGUGAUCGGCCACACUGGGACUGAGACACGGCCCAGACUCCUACGGGAGGCAGCAGUAGGGAAUCUUCGGCAAUGGGGGCAACCCUGACCGAGCAACGCCGCGUGAGUGAAGAAGGUUUUCGGAUCGUAAAGCUCUGUUGUAAGUCAAGAACGAGUGUGAGAGUGGAAAGUUCACACUGUGACGGUAGCUUACCAGAAAGGGACGGCUAACUACGUGCCAGCAGCCGCGGUAAUACGUAGGUCCCGAGCGUUGUCCGGAUUUAUUGGGCGUAAAGCGAGCGCAGGCGGUUUGAUAAGUCUGAAGUUAAAGGCUGUGGCUCAACCAUAGUUCGCUUUGGAAACUGUCAAACUUGAGUGCAGAAGGGGAGAGUGGAAUUCCAUGUGUAGCGGCGAAAUGCGUAGAUAUAUGGAGGAACACCGGUGGCGAAAGCGGCUCUCUGGUCUGUAACUGACGCUGAGGCUCGAAAGCGUGGGGAGCGAACAGGAUUAGAUACCCUGGUAGUCCACGCCGUAAACGAUGAGUGCUAGGUGUUGGAUCCUUUCCGGGAUUCAGUGCCGCAGCUAACGCAUUAAGCACUCCGCCUGGGGAGUACGACCGCAAGGUUGAAACUCAAAGGAAUUGACGGGGGCCCGCACAAGCGGUGGAGCAUGUGGUUUAAUUCGAAGCAACGCGAAGAACCUUACCAGGUCUUGACAUCCCGAUGCUAUUUCUAGAGAUAGAAAGUUACUUCGGUACAUCGGUGACAGGUGGUGCAUGGUUGUCGUCAGCUCGUGUCGUGAGAUGUUGGGUUAAGUCCCGCAACGAGCGCAACCCCUAUUGUUAGUUGCCAUCAUUCAGUUGGGCACUCUAGCGAGACUGCCGGUAAUAAACCGGAGGAAGGUGGGGAUGACGUCAAAUCAUCAUGCCCCUUAUGACCUGGGCUACACACGUGCUACAAUGGUUGGUACAACGAGUUGCGAGUCGGUGACGGCAAGCUAAUCUCUUAAAGCCAAUCUCAGUUCGGAUUGUAGGCUGCAACUCGCCUACAUGAAGUCGGAAUCGCUAGUAAUCGCGGAUCAGCACGCCGCGGUGAAUACGUUCCCGGGCCUUGUACACACCGCCCGUCACACCACGAGAGUUUGUAACACCCGAAGUCGGUGAGGUAACCUUUUGGAGCCAGCCGCCUAAGGUGGGAUAGAUGAUUGGGGUG
rnacentral:rRNA from 1 species